AGGCCCGUCUUUCAUUUCCACAUACCUCUUUAUGCUCCGCUAGGCACAAUAGAAGAUCUAGGAUCGCAACAAUAAUAGCCUUGUCAUUUCCCUAAAGAUUUUCGGUUAAAGUAUUGCAAGGUCCCUCUUCAUGGUAAAUCUGGCUCAUGUUCAUUCUUCCUUGGCUAGUUCUUCUCGAUCUUUAUAUACCUCACCAUAUGGUUCUUCAAAUAUCUAAGAUCCUCUUGAUUUGUUGUGGACACAGGAGUAUCAACGCUGGAGGAAGUAGGGGAGAAAAGGAGGGUGAGGUGGCCUGCAGAGCCCCCUCCUCCCCCUUCUAGCUAGGUCCGACCAUGGUCGAAGGUUCAUGACUUGAUUUCUAGGAUUUAUAGAGAAAG